UUACGCUGCACCAUUGUGUGUUAUUUUUCCCUUAUGCUUUGGUGAUCUUUUGUUUUCAACGACAAAGUUGGUGAGACGCGGUGCGUUUGAUGGUAAAACUUUUGCAAAAAAAAAAACUAACUAGAAUUUCGCUGAAAUUAUUGAAACUAACGAAAUCUAAAAAAAACAGUUACAGUUUGUGCAUUUAAGGUUAAUUUUUUUUAAGGUAUUCUUUUGUUUAAACUGUAUAAUGAAAGUAAAUUUCUUUUGUUUAAUUUGUGUGUAGAUUCAUUGUGUGCUGCCGAUAGGCUUGAUUGGCUACAGUGGUUUGAAAAAAGUGUUCGGUGGACCUUCCACGGGACCUGGAGAUUGUCUCUGGCGGUGCUUUCGUAAAGUGAAGUUGGUGAUUUCCGGACUGGGCUUUACGACGGCAAGAGGACAAUCGGGAACUUUGCAGCGGACGGCGUAAGGUGGACGAACUUUGGCGCUUCUUGAAGGAACGCACGGUGUUUGAGGUGAAGUCUGUUGAAAGUCGUUCGCUGGCAAGGGCCGGACGGAGAUUUGAAACCAUGUUUUCAUCAAUCUCAACGGAGAUGUGGAGAGAGCGAAUCAACGCUGGAGCAAUUGGUGUCAAAGGACAAGGAGUUAAACAUUGGUUUCACAUCAAAAGUUCGCGUAAAGAAGCCGAGCAACCCCGAGCUGAAAACGAUAGCUGGAUACAGCUUACGAGGAGUUGUUCGUUGGGAAAUCCCAGAGGACAUCAAGGCAGAACUUUGUUUCGAAUUGGGACAUGCAUUCGAGGCCAAAUUGCUGGAACGCGACACGCUACAUAC